UGUUAUAAUCCAAGGCGGGCAAUUCACAUAUUUUUGAAAUCGAAUUUUCAUAUGUCUGGAACCAAAAUGGCGUUUAUUUCUCUUUCUCGCUCGCUCCAUUCAACAUCAGGAUAAGCCAUUCUUCCUGAAAAACCCUAGCCGCUAUCAAUCUCUCCUUCAUUAUGUCCUAUGUUGGACCGCCAACAGAUACUUUGUUCAUUGGUCAUGUCUGGUUCUUAGAAGUUUCGAUUCAGGUUAUCAUCUAAAUCCCAUCCCCACCUAUGCAACGAUUACAGUGGAUUCCGAGAUAACUUACAUCCCAACAACGAUUAAACACCACUGCAUCAGUCGACUCCUUCUUCUUACUUAUUUGUUUGUAUCCUCAGUUGGAAUCGAAAAUCAAAGCUUCCAAAUCUAAGCUGGAGUUUUUGAGCAGGUCUUGAAGAUAUGAUUUUUUGAAUAAUAGGUUUCCCAGGUAUGAAGAUUCUGAAUCGUUUAAUCGAUAUAGGCCUCAGAUUUGUCGAUACACUUUGGUCUUUCUCGCUUUCUCCCUCUUUGUAUUUCGCUGAAAACCACCACCCUCUCUCUACAGGUCUGCACAUCAGCCUCUUUUUGGGCAAGAGACACCUCAAUCAGAGAGAAAUCAAGUUUUAUGUGCUAGGAAUCAAAAGAAACUUCAAUUCUUCCAAGAUUUUGCUGGAAAGGUGAUGAAUGGAUGUUGAUCUGAUUUGAUCUUCAUUGAUGGAUUUCGUCUCUAUAUCUAAUUAUCGGUAUAUUACUUUUGAAUACAAAUAUUUUCUUCUGAAGAACUUAAUUCUAGAAUCUUAGGACCUGGAAAGUGGAAACCUGAAUACAUGAAGGAUCUGAAUUAUGUGUGUGCUUAACAGAUGAACUUGAAAUUAGACAAUAAGCAUAUAACUCACAUAUAAACUUUUUAACAUAUAUUUAAUAAUUGUAUUAAUACUUGUAUUGAAA